GUGUUGAGUUUUGUGAUCUGAUCAUGUGAAUGGACUAAAUAAAUGCUCCAAACGUCUCUAUUGGUAAUAAACAAAUGUAACUAACUGUGACUCAUAUAGAUUUCCUUGCAUUCUUUGAGCAAUGAACAUGUAUGCUUGAUUAAGGAAAACAUUUUUGAGUUUUGUGAUGUGAUCGUGUGAAUAAACAAAUGUGACUAACUGUGACUCAUAGCUUUUCUUGCAAACUUUGAGCAAUGACAUAUGUUAGAUUAAGGAAAACAUUGAGAUGAUAAAGAUAUUGAAGUUUUUAUUGCUUGAAUAAAUGAAAUAGUGAAUUUUUGUGAUGCUCUGUAAAUUUACAAGUGCAGUUCUGUGGCAUAAGGGUUGGGAGUUUCCUCUACCUCCACUUGAUUAGGGUCGUAUGCUUCCAUCCAUGGUGUGAUAUCUUUAUUGAUUCCUUGAAAAGUAUAAACCUGUCAGGCAGUAGCUCUAUAAUUCUAGGUCUUAAAAACUUAAGACAGUUAUAGCGAUGGACAAGCAAGGUAGCACUUGAUCACAUUCCAUUCAAGCUCCAACGUUUUCGCCGUCGACCGGUGAGGAAGAGGCCUACCAUUCAAACUGGCUCUGAAUAGGCCCGGCCUGACGGCCGCGGCCUCCACCAAUGUCGCCCUGCAUGUUGCUUGCUUCAUUUAGUUGGCUUCCUCUUCAUCAUGUAUGGCUGGGACUAGGGAUGUUGUAGCGCUACCGUUCGAGAUGCAUAGGCUUGGAUUCUAGGUCUUGACCCGGGCUCAGUGCUCGUCCACGUCCCCGAGAUCAUGCUUUGUAUUCAAAUUCAUAAAUUUUUUGCAUUUCAAAU